ACUCGCCUCAACCUUUCGGUGUAGAGGUCAUGCGCAUGGCGCUGAGU
rnacentral:ncRNA from 1 species